CCAUUGUGGGAGGAGCCUGGUAACAGAGAGCUGUGACAAUGAUUGUGUUGUGACAGGGAGCAGGAGUAGUGCGGACAGAGCUUGGCGUCUCGGAUGAGGAGGGCAGGCGGGAUUUACUACAGACAUAUGACGGUUCCCAUUUAAUCCCAGAGAUGAUUGAUAAGGUGUCCUGCAGCCCAUAGUUCUCAAUGAAGGAUGACGAUGGAGCGCUUCCUCAUUCACCCUGUGAUAAUUUACUGAACCAUGAUAAAUCACCAUGAGAAGAUAUUUGCUUUCACACUGAAAAUCCCCCUCCCUGCUGACUGGAGAGGUGAUGAAUUCUGGGAAUUGUCUGUCUACAAAUUCUAUCAGCUCAGCUACCUCUGUCAGUAGAGUAUAAGUGGUUAACUCCAAAAUCAACUCCCCCGUCCAUUCUUUUGAAGUUGAUACAAUUCAUAAUAAGUUGGGUCCUGAUAACAUAUAGACCACAGAAGGUGCUUGAAAACCGGUGACAAACCUGUGUAUUUUUCUUGGUAAAAUAAUCUUAUAUUAUCCGGACUCACAAUUUCCACUUGGCAAAACCGAAUGAAAAUGUAGCCCUAGAUAGUAGAAAUUGACCUGUGAUGAAUGUCCAUAGACCCUCCAGGUUUGUAGUGGUGAGUAACGUUUACUGCCUGGCUAGCUGCGUAGGACUUUGAAUUUAAAUCCCUGAAUUAAAUUAGCCGCUCAGGGCACUCUGAGUAGAUAAUUUGGGGAACCAUGCUUAAUGUGUUAUCAAACUAUUGGAAAUCCUGAAGCAGUAGACUGCUGGCAGGUAAGUUUGAAGAAUGAAAGUUUUUGGAAAAUGUGCAUGUUUUAGAAGAGUUUAUUUGGUAAAAAUGGAGCUCCUUUGUUUAUCCCCAACUUAUUUUUAUUCGCAAGGCCACUAGAUGGCACUGCUAAUUCACAAGUAAUGAUGUAUUAAUAGGAAGAUACAAUUUAGUUUUGAUACAUUCUGGGAGAAACUUUAAAGUGCCAAUCGAAUGUGGUGAUCAGCCAGUAGAAUGCCUCUCAUAGGGAAGCAUUACACUAAUGUUUUCCUAUGAAGCACUCACUUUAUUGCCAGGAGGUUGUUCCUAAAUUGGUUCAUACAAGUGGCGAUUUCUCUCGAAUUCUGCACUUUUAUGGAUUGGGAGGUGUAGUU